rnacentral:rRNA from 1 species
GACGUAGGAGGCGAGCGUUGUCCGGAGUUACUGGGCGUAAAGCGCGCGCAGGCGGUCACGCAGGUCAUCUGUGAAAGCACUCGGCUCAACCGGGAUGUUGCGGGUGAAACCGCGUGACUUGAGGGUGGGAGAGGUCGGUGGAAUUCCCGGUGUAGUGGUGAAAUGCGUAGAGAUCGGGAGGAACACCCGUAGCGAAGGCGGCCGACUGGAUCACACCUGACGCUGAGGCGCGAAGGCCAGGGGAGCGAACGGG